rnacentral:hammerhead_ribozyme from 1 species
AUCCAGCUGAUGAGUCGCAAAAUGGGACGAAGUGGUGCGCGUCCUGGAU